rnacentral:tRNA from 1 species
GUCAGGAUGGCCGAGCGGUCUAAGGCGCUGCGUUCAGGUCGCAGUCUCCAAUGGGGGCGUGGGUUCAAAUCCCACUUCUGACA